rnacentral:snRNA from 12 species
AGCUUUGCGCAGUGGCAGUAUCAUAGCCAAUGGGGUUUAUCCGAGGCAUGAUUAUUGCUAAUUGAAAAAGGAAACAUUGACUAAACCAUAGGAUAAGAGGGGUACAACUUCACACAAUUCCCACCACAAGGGCUCUGUAUCCCAUUGCCUCCCCUUUCUUUCUUUCUUUUUUUUAAUAUUAUUUAUUCCUUUUGUUGCCCUUGUUGUUUUAUUGUUGUAGUUAUUAUUGUUGUUGAUA